ensembl:lncRNA
AGGUAUUAAGUUUGGGGGUCUGUCACAUGGUUAGAGAGUCCCUAAGCUGCUAAACUGCAUAGAACCAGCUGGUAAGGAGACAGCAAGCCCAAAUGGGCUUAGGCAGCUUAUUAUUCACAGUGUGGCAGAUAGCAUGAACUUCACGUUUGUUUUGGUUCCCCGUGACAUUUAAACACCGUAAGGGUGAUGCAGGUCAAUGCCGUGCACAGUACAUCUGCAACACAGAUGAAGGACACUGAGUUUAGGAAACCCUCAAUCUUAAAAGAGGGAAUGCUAGCAAACCUGCCCUUUGAAGGGGACAGUAUCUUUUUUUCCCCCAACUUCCUUUUAUUAUACUGGUCAGGAACAAAUCUGCCUUCUAACCCAGUGUGAGACUUUUUUUUUUUUUAAUUUGCUGUGCUGGGUCUUAGUUACAGCAUGCAGGAUCUUCACUGCUGCAUGGAGGAUCUUUUAAUUUUAAUCGUGGCAUGGGAGGAUCAUAGUUCCUUGACCAGGGAUCAAACUCAGGCCCUCUGCAUUGGGAGCAUAGCAUUUUAGCCACUGGACCACCAGGGAAGCCCUUGGGAGGCAUUUUUUUUUUUUUAAUCACCAUGAAAUGUCUCCAGGAUUGGAGGGUGAUACUAGCUUUAUUGGGCUUCCCUGGUGGCUCAGCCUGCAAUGCAGGAGAUCCAGGUUUGACCCCUGACUCAGGAAGAUCCCCUGGAGAAGGAAAUGGCAACCCACUCCAGUAUUCUUGCCUGGGAAAUUCCAUGGACAGAAGAGCCUGGCGGGCUACAGUCCAUGGGGUCGCAAAAGAGGUGGACACAACUUAGCAACUAAACAAGAACAACAACAAUGAUGAAGUAAACCUGCACCCUAACCCUAAGCAGCUUUGCAAACAUCCUCAAACAAAGCUAUUCAUGCCAUUCGCUUAGUGAUGCCAGCAUUUCUCCCGACAGUUUGUUACAGUUCAGUACAGCUAACUGAUUUGCAGGACUAUCAACCUACCACCAAGUAUCUAGUCCCCCUGUGGGAAUAAUACCCUAUCAGGGACUCAGCGUUGGUCUCUCCUGGUGGACAUUCAUCACUGACUACAUCAGCUUUGUUGAGAAGAAGUCUAAACCAGAGAGCCCAUGCACCCCUGCCAUCGUGGCCAGCUUUCUCAUGGCUCCACUGAGCUGGGGAAAGAGGCUGACUGGCAUGCAGAGGUUGGAUCAUUAUGUUCCUUCAUUGUUUAAAAAGCCUGUUCUACCUUGGGUGCCCUCUGGUGGGCAUUCAUAGGAAACACAAGUGCUUUCACCAUUCCAAGACGUUCAUCGUUAUACCAACACCCCAGGUCUUCUUGUCUCCAGUCUUCUGCUGUCAUAUUUUCCAAGUCUUUGACCAACCAGAAAGGGGCCUGAGCACUCUCAGAGCUUUUACUGUGUUUUUCCUUUGGAUUAUAAUGACAGUUAUAUUUGGAAUGAGUUUUAAGGUUUUCUCCUCUGACUGUAAUUUUCUUUAGUUAAUGCCAGCAGAUCUGAAAAGUCUCAUGUUGUUGUUUAGUCACUAAGUCGUGUCUGACUCCUUUGCAACCUGAUGGACCAUAGCCCUCCAGGCAAGGAUACAUACACUCCUACAAAUGAACAGAGGUGGGUUUUUUCUUUUUUAUUGAAGUAUACUUGAUUUACAAUGUUAUAUUGGUUUCAGGUGUACAGCAUAGUGAUUCAAUGCUUUUA